UUAGAAGCAGUUCACUGACUCUAGAUCCACUUUAUGUUGAUGGAUGGAUCCCUGGAUCAAUUCUGAUGUGCUCUGAAACCUAAGCACAAGAUCAUCGCUCGUGUGACGUACCAUUUCAAGCUCUCGCCGGCGAGGAGGCGGAUCUCUGACACGAGUGAUGGACGGUCACAGCGAGGAAGGGUGGACGCGUCCAGCGGGUGUUAUAUCCCGUUUCCAGAUAUAACUCUCCCUCAUUAAGCUCUCCUAUCAUGUUCACUGAAGCGCUGCUGUCACUGGCACAGAGCCAAGAUGGCGGCUUCCACAAAUCCCAACAUUUCAGCACUCGCUCAGCUCACCGGAUAAAUGAUGAAGUCGCACUACAGCACAUUUCAUUUGCAGUCUAGCAGUGUCCAUAAACACCCUACGGGAGAUGAACUUUAAAAGCUAGAGCUGUCAGAAGACACAAAUGCAAGCAUGUUUUGAGAGCAGCACUGGUCUAAUUUGGGCUCUUCUUUAUUUGAGCACAAACGAUGUGAAGGGGUUGAAUGCGAGCGAAUGGCCGGACCACACACUUUCCCCUUUGAUCCAGCAUGAGAAGAACUCACAUCACAUUACCAGAGAGAAGAGCCUAAAAACUCCACAGCAGCUCAUCAGAUCCUGUAGGUCUCUUCCUACCAGCAGUUAUACAUCAGUCAGUGAUAAAAGAGGCCUGAUGUUAGCCUUAGCAUCGUCUCUCCACUGCUGCUAACAAAUACACAAAAUCAAUGCGAUCCAAAAUAGAAUUCGCUGCUGUCUGCAAUAUCCUGAUAAGAGAUUUGAUAGCAUAAAUAUUUAUAAAGAGCCAAAGGAAAUGAAAUUGAAUUUGCAUUCUGCUUUGUUAUCGUAUGAUGUGCUAUUCUAAAACUGCAUCGUAUGAAUUCAUUUCAUUCCCUGCACUAGAGAAACUGACAUUUUUAAUAACUGGAUGGUUAACAUGAAAUAUGAAAAAAGUUAGUAAAAAGUCAUGCUCUUUGAUGUGAUGUGCUACACUCUAUCUGAAUUUUCUCCUCUGUACAGUAUAUUGAAUAAUAAUAAUAAAUACUUUUUUUUUUGAGAAAUCUUUUCUUUA
ensembl:lncRNA